AGUGAACGCUGGCGGUAGGCCUAACACAUGCAAGUCGAACGGCAGCACAGUAAGAGCUUGCUCUUACGGGUGGCGAGUGGCGGACGGGUGAGGAAUACAUCGGAAUCUACUUUUUCGUGGGGGAUAACGUAGGGAAACUUACGCUAAUACCGCAUACGACCUACGGGUGAAAGCAGGGGAUCUUCGGACCUUGCGCGAUUGAAUGAGCCGAUGUCGGAUUAGCUGGUUGGCGGGGUAAAGGCCCACCAAGGCGACGAUCCGUAGCUGGUCUGAGAGGAUGAUCAGCCACACUGGAAAUGAGACACGGUCCAGACUCCUACGGGAGGCAGCAGUGGGGAAUAUUGGACAAUGGGCGCAAGCCUGAUCCAGCCAUACCGCGUGGGUGAAGAAGGCCUUCGGGUUGUAAAGCCCUUUUGUUGGGAAAGAAAAGCAGCAGGUUAAUACCCCGCUGUUCUGACGGUACCCAAAGAAUAAGCACCGGCUAACUUCGUG
rnacentral:rRNA from 1 species